rnacentral:rRNA from 1 species
UACGUAGGGUGCAAGCGUUGUCCGGAAUUAUUGGGCGUAAAGAGCGUGUAGGCGGUUCGGUAAGUCUGCCGUGAAAACCUGAGGCUCAACCUCGGGCGUGCGGUGGAUACUGCCGGGCUAGAGGACGGUAGAGGCGAGUGGAAUUCCUGGUGUAGCGGUGAAAUGCGCAGAUAUCAGGAGGAACACCGGUGGCGAAGGCGGAUCUCUGGGCCAUUACUGACGCUGAGGAGCGAAAAGCGUGGGGGAGCGAACAGG